rnacentral:rRNA from 1 species
GGGUUGUGAGGUUAAGCGACUAAGCGUACACGGUGGAUGCCCUGGCAGUCAGAGGCGAUGAAGGACGUGCUAAUCUGCGAUAAGCGUCGGUAAGGUGAUAUGAACCGUUAUAACCGGCGAUUUCCGAAUGGGGAAACCCAGUGUGUUUCGACACACUAUCAUUAACUGAAUCCAUAGGUUAAUGAGGCGAACCGGGGGAACUGAAACAUCUAAGUACCCCGAGGAAAAGAAAUCAACCGAGAUUCCCCAAGUAGCGGCGAGCGAACGGGGAGCAGCCCAGAGCCUGAAUCAGUGUGUGUGUUAGUGGAAGCGUCUGGAAAGGCGCGCGAUACAGGGUGACAGCCCCGUACACAAAAAUGCACAUGCUGUGAGCUCGAUGAGUAGGGCGGGACACGUGGUAUCCUGUCUGAAUAUGGGGGGACCAUCCUCCAAGGCUAAAUACUCCUGACUGACCGAUAGUGAACCAGUACCGUGAGGGAAAGGCGAAAAGAACCCCGGCGAGGGGAGUGAAAAAGAACCUGAAACCGUGUACGUACAAGCAGUGGGAGCACGCUUAGGCGUGUGACUGCGUACCUUUUGUAUAAUGGGUCAGCGACUUAUAUUCUGUAGCAAGGUUAACCGAAUAGGGGAGCCGAAGGGAAACCGAGUCUUAACUGGGCGUUAAGUUGCAGGGUAUAGACCCGAAACCCGGUGAUCUAGCCAUGGGCAGGGUGAAGGUUGGGUAACACUAACUGGAGGACCGAACCGACUAAUGUUGAAAAAUUAGCGGAUGACUUGUGGCUGGGGGUGAAAGGCCAAUCAAACCGGGAGAUAGCUGGUUCUCCCCGAAAGCUAUUUAGGUAGCGCCUCGUGAAUUCAUCUCCGGGGGUAGAGCACUGUUUCGGCAAGGGGGUCAUCCCGACUUACCAACCCGAUGCAAACUGCGAAUACCGGAGAAUGUUAUCACGGGAGACACACGGCGGGUGCUAACGUCCGUCGUGAAGAGGGAAACAACCCAGACCGCCAGCUAAGGUCCCAAAGUCAUGGUUAAGUGGGAAACGAUGUGGGAAGGCCCAGACAGCCAGGAUGUUGGCUUAGAAGCAGCCAUCAUUUAAAGAAAGCGUAAUAGCUCACUGGUCGAGUCGGGCCUGCGCGGAAGAUGUAACGGGGCUAAACCAUGCACCGAAGCUGCGGCAGCGAC